GGACCAAAGUGAAAAAUAGUCAUUCCCAAGGACACAAACGGCGCCGUUUUGAAGAGCUGUUCAUUAUCCUUUUCAUUUCGCGCGGAGAAAGCCUAUUCAACAGGGAAAACUGCAGCAAUUCGAUCCGAUCAUGGACCACAUCUUUUGCCCACGAUCCCGCUCGUGGAUUGAUUAACAAUCCUGUAAAUGCAGGACUGUAACAGGGACUGGUUUUGGCAAGCUCUCGGGCUCUAUAAAAGGCAGAGCAGAGAACGGUAAAAAAAAGAAGAAAACAGAGGAGACACCAGGGGGACGAAAAAACGAACCAGGGGAGAAAAAAAACACAGACGAAGAAAAAAGCAAAAACAAAAAGACUGAGAGAGAGGAGACUGGUGACCGAAAAACGGGAGGAGAGGGACGAAAACCAGUUUUCAUCCCCAGAAACUAAGCAAAAAAAGAGAAAAGGUUGGCCACUGUCUUAGCCAUUUCCAACACAGGCGAAAGAAUAUACAGAAGAGAGAGAAAGAGCAGGAGAUAAGAGGAUCGGAAACAGAGGGUGAAGGGAACAAAAUCGGAGGAAGAAGGCUACGACCCGAAAUCCUCCAUCGCGUCUCUGCUUCUCUGCGCACAGGUAAGUCAGUUUUCGUUUUUUCCUCUUUGCCUCAUUUUGUGAGGAAUAUUGCACUGCGCGAAGGUAAAUUAAUUACCUUCGCACAGUACAUGCACGCGUGGAGAAUCUGGAGACACUCCACGCGUGCCUCUUGUUGGUUUGGCCCCCACCGGGUCACUGGCUUGGGCCAGUGACCGGGCCGGGCUGGCAGGGCCCAUCCCAAAAUAAAAAUAAAAAAAUAGAAAAUGUAGAAAUAAAAAUUUUGCAUGUCUUAGAAAAAAUAUAUUUUAACAAUUUAUUCACUGAUAUUAGGAUCAGGAAUAAAAAAAAAUAUACUGAUUUUUUUUAACUGGAAUUUUUACCAACGCCAGUGUUGGAAUUAUUCGUGGUGAAAUAUUUACCAACGUCAGAGUUGGAAGUAUUUGAGAUCGAAUAUUCACUGGUGCCAAAGUCAAGAAUAUUAUAAACAAAUCAUCAUAGCAUAAGCUAACAAAUGUUUAGCAAUUUAAGACAACCAGCAAUGCAGUCUGCCUCAGGCAGAACGUUUAAGGGGUGAUAAUAUCUUCUCUUUUACGUAAUCAGUCCCGUACCAUAGAAUAUCUGUUGACCAGUUAGGGUUCUUAGUGACCAUAAUACUAGAUGGCGACUCCUUAAACAAGAUAUUUUCCCUAAAAGAACAAGAUGCCAGAUAUCUGUUCUUUUUUUCAUAAUCAAGAUUAUUUUUAAGGCCGUCGCGAUGUCGGGUGUGACAAUGUGAACAGUGCCAAAAUGAAAUUCAGCUGGAACUGUUCAAGUGCCACGUGAAUGAAUUCACCUGGCACUGUUCACUUCUCAUGCAAAACUAAUACACAGACGCAAGAACAGGGAGAAAAUACUGGAGAAAAACGCAGGGUGAAAAAACAAAGAAAAAAAGAAAAAAAAUAGAGAGAGAGGGAACAAGAAAAAAGAAGUAGAACAAGAUCGGAGAAAGAAUUAGAGGACCCAGAGAACACAAAAAGAGCAAGAGAUAAACGAAAAACGGGAUAGGACAUCGUCUGGCCAGAUCGUCACCAUCGUCUUCGUCUCCAGCCUUCAGCACCAGAGCGCGCAUGCACAGAUGUGGUAGGAAGGGAGAAGCAUAUAGAUGUUGCUUUUGGCUAACCCGCAUUUGAAACGUUAAUUGUGGUGGGUCCUGCACACAGUAAAUAGCGUUUGCCAUUUUACCAAAUGUUUUGUUUCUGUGGUUUACUUCAAACACAGAAGCAACCACGGAAACAAACACGCUCUAUAUAUACUAGCUUGCUAAUUAAUGUAACCUCUCUAUAUAAAUAAAAAUCAUUAGCACUCAUCCAUUUGUCCUUGUAUCCGCUCUCUCCCAUAUCAUUCCGUAACUUGUACACACGAAAUAUAAUUGGCAGCCCUAGGAGAAAAAAAGAAAAAAACUCCAAAUAGCUUUUUUGACAGUCGUAAAAUAUUGAACUCUGAAUUCAAAUUUCCAUCUUAUAAAUAGAAUAUCAUAUAAUAUAUCACUUAAGCAGCUAAAGUCCCUAAAAAAAUUAAAGAA